rnacentral:tRNA from 1 species
GCGCCCGUAGCUCAGGGGAUAGAGCAGCCGCCUUCUAAGCGGUCGGUCGAGGGUUCGAAUCCUUCCGGGCGCACCA